rnacentral:lncRNA from 1 species
AUCUACAACUAUCUGAUCUUUGACAAACCUGAGAAAAACAAGCAAUGGGGAAAGGAUUCCCUAUUUAAUAAAUGGUGCUGGGAAAACUGGCUAGCCAUAUGUAGAAAGCUGAAACUGGAUCCCUUCCUUACACCUUAUACAAAAAUUAAUUCAAGAUGGAUUAAAGACUUAAACAUUAGACCUAAAACCAUAAAAACCCUAGAAGAAAACCUAGACAUUACCAUUCAGGACAUAGGCAUGGGCAAGG